rnacentral:rRNA from 1 species
UUCCCUACGGGAGGCAGCAGUGGGGAAUAUUGCACAAUGGGGGAAACCCUGAUGCAGCGACGCCGCGUGAGCGAUGAAGUAUUUCGGUAUGUAAAGCUCUAUCAGCAGGGAAGAAAAUGACGGUACCUGACUAAGAAGCACCGGCUAAAUACGUGCCAGCAGCCGCGGUAAUACGUAUGGUGCAAGCGUUAUCCGGAUUUACUGGGUGUAAAGGGAGCGCAGGCGGCGCGUUAAGCCUGGUGUGAAAGCUCGCGGCCCAACCGCGGGACUGCAUUGGGAACUGGCGCGCUGGAGUGCCGGAGGGG